rnacentral:rRNA from 1 species
UACGUAGGGGGCAAGCGUUGUCCGGAUUUAUUGGGCGUAAAGAGCGUGUAGGCGGCCAGACAGGUCCGUUGUGAAAACUCGAGGCUCAACCUCGAGACGUCGAUGGAAACCGUCUGGCUAGAGUCCGGAAGAGGAGUGUGGAAUUCCUGGUGUAGCGGUGAAAUGCGCAGAUAUCAGGAAGAACACCUAUGGCGAAGGCAGCACUCUGGGACGGUACUGACGCUGAGACGCGAAAGCGUGGGGAGCGAGCAGG